CGUCCUCUCGCCUCUGUUCCCUCCUCGGCCUGGGGUUACUGCGAAUCUGGCGCUGAAGACUGAAGCUGCUAACGUUAUAUUCGAAUGGGACAGUUAUAUUGCUUCAAUUGGUCUCCUACUUCAUUUGAUUCCACCAUCAUUACAAGGCUGCAAGGGAUCUGGAAAAAUGUCAUCCUGUCAAGCUGAAAAACAUCUUCAAAAAGGCACUAACAAGAACAGCUUGAUUGCAGAGAAGAGACCACACAGCCAUACACGCUCACUGAUGGGACGAUGAGGAACAUCAUUCAUGGAUGCUACACAACUCAAAUCUACACGUCAUAUUUGUUCAUGUCUAGGUAAAUUUGAUGAUUUUGUGUUUUAUUAACUACUUUGUUUCUGUGCAACACUUAAUGAAUGUGACUGACUAAUUAACCUCUACACAUCUGGUAUAUGCUUUAAAGUUGCCACUUUGCCCAUUUGUUCAAUAAAUGUUGAAAUGUAUACAUCUGUCUGAAGACUUUCCUGAUUUUAUGUCUAUCCUUUUACAUUAACUUUAUUUUUAUCAUAAUUAACAUUAUUUUUUUUGUUUGCACUGAAAAGAGGACAUUAUUAAUUACGCUUAAAACAACAGCAGAGGUGUUAAAUACCCCAUAGUGUAAAAUUUGAACAGCAAUAGCAUGUGUAACACUUUACACUUGGAGUGUAAUUUUUC
ensembl:lncRNA